rnacentral:rRNA from 1 species
UACGAAGGGGGCUAGCGUUGCUCGGAAUCACUGGGCGUAAAGCGCACGUAGGCGGAUCUUUAAGUCAGGGGUGAAAUCCUGGAGCUCAACUCCAGAACUGCCUUUGAUACUGAGGAUCUUGAGUCCGGGAGAGGUGAGUGGAACUGCGAGUGUAGAGGUGAAAUUCGUAGAUAUUCGGAAGAACACCAGUGGCGAAGGCGGCUCACUGGCCCGGUACUGACGCUGAGGUGCGAAAGCGUGGGGAGCAAACAGG